rnacentral:rRNA from 1 species
GGGAGGCAGCAGUGGGGAAUAUUGCGCAAUGGGCGAAAGCCUGACGCAGCAACGCCGCGUGUGUGAUGAAGGCCUUCGGGUUGUAAAGCACUGUCAGGAGGGAAGAACGUGUCUGGGAGUAACUGCCUAGGCACUGACGGUACCUUCGGAGGAAGCACCGGCUAACUCCGUGCGAGCAGCCGCGGUAAUACGGAGGGUGCAAGCGUUGUUCGGAAUCAUUGGGCGUAAAGGGCGCGUAGGCGGUCCACCAAGUCAGGUGUGAAAUCCCUCGGCUUAACUGAGGAACUGCGCUUGAGACUGGCGGACUUGAGUACGGGAGAGGGCAGCGGAAUUUCGAGUGUAGAGGUGAAAUUCGUAGAUAUUCGGAGGAACACCAGUGGCGAAGGCGGCUGCCUGGACCGAUACUGACGCUGAGGCGCGAAAGCGUGGGGAGCAAACAGGAUUAGAUACCCCGGUAGC